rnacentral:misc_RNA from 1 species
AAGUCGUAACAAGGUUUCCGUAGGUGAACCUGCGGAAGGAUCAUUAAUGAAUGCAAGGAUGCUCUCUUUAGAGGUCCGACCCAAUCAUUUUUCCAACCCUGUGGCACACACCACUAUUUUGAUACACCAUUUAAACUACCUCUAAAAGUCUAUAAGAAUGCCAAAAGUCCUCUUGAUUGAGCAUAAAAUGAAACAAAA